GUGUGGAGCCAGGAUCAAACAACAUAUAAACAGCUUGUUCAAAGAUGAAGAAAGUACCAGUUUAUAACAUCUGAUGUCUCAGCCUCAUCCCUUUGGUGCAUUGUAUAUACUCUAAUCGGUGCGAUACUCUACUCUGACUGGUUUACUGUACCAUGGCUACCAGAUGUAUUGCCUCUAUCCCUGUCUCGACCUCUACUAACUGGCUGUGGCCCUCUGAAAGCAGAGCCUUGAGCUGAUCCCUCAGUAGUGGUAGGUGGUCCAGAUCUGCGAAUACUAGUGUAAUCCCUGGCAAAAUGUCCAAUUCCACCACAGUUGUAGUAGGCUCCUGUGGCCUUAUAGCAUACUCCUCCAUGUGUUUUGUCACAGGUUUCACAGGUACGGAUAGGAAAGGAACCUCUGAAUGUCUACUGACUAGAUCUAAGUGGCCUCUGCCCUGAGAAUUUUCGGAUACCCCUUCCAAUUCUAUCAUUUCCAGCUCAAGGGCCUAGGAUAUCAACUCUAAGAAGUUCCCAUGUUUGAAACCAACCACCUGUAGUCGUAGACUAGGCCUCAAUCUAGCUUUAAACCACUUUUCUAUCUCCUUGUUUCAAACUCAAAAACUCCUGAAGCUUUAUAUCCACAUAUAUAUCCGGAACAUAAUUCUGUUGAAAUUCCCUAAGGAAGUCUUCCCAUGUCAAUACUGAAUGCUCUACCAGACUGUGGGGAAUAGUCUUCCACCAUUCAUAAGCGUCCCCUUACAACAAAGAAACUGAGUAUUCAAACUUCAGAUCAUAUGUGUAGUGUAAUUUCUUGAAUACCCUCUCCAUUCUCUCUCAAGCCAUUAUUCUGCUUCCAAUGGGUCUACUGUACCCUUGAACUCUAUUGCCCCAUACUUCAUUAAUUUUUUAUACUGUCUAGUUGGGGGUGGUGAUUGCACUGCUUGUAAUGGAGCUUGGACUGGUAUAUAUUGCCAGCCAUUUGUUGAAAUAGUGCAGCCAUCUACUGAGCGAUCUGAGCAGAAAACUGCAUGGGCGGGACUAGUGUAGCAGAUCCACUAGCGUUCUGAGGAGCU
rnacentral:misc_RNA from 1 species